rnacentral:rRNA from 1 species
CACGUAGGGUGCGAGCGUUGUCCGGAAUUAUUGGGCGUAAAGAGCUCGUAGGCGGUUCGUCGCGUCGGAUGUGAAAACCCGGAGCUCAACUCCGGGCCUGCAGUCGAUACGGGCGGACUUGAGUGUUGCAGGGGAGACUGGAAUUCCUGGUGUAGCGGUGAAAUGCGCAGAUAUCAGGAGGAACACCGGUGGCGAAGGCGGGUCUCUGGGCAACUACUGACGCUGAGGAGCGAAAGCGUGGGGAGCGAACAGG